GAAUCAGUUCGUCUGUGAUCAGCCAGGUGAAGGUAACAACUUUGAUCGAUAAAAUCGGAUAAAACACGCUCUCCUCCCGGUCCUAUCAAGAUUUGCGAGCAGGGAAUACCAUGGAUACUUUAAUUCAGCCUCAAACAAGCCUAACUUUGACUUCACAUCUGCAAACAUAUGAAAGUUAGCUAGCCUUAACACACUGAGGUGGUUAGCUAGCUCGUUUCACAUGUGUGCAAGACACAAGGAACAACAACAACAAAGGAGACAACAUGGAGACUUUCAUGGAUACAAACAACUGGAGGAGACAAUGGAGGAGAGGAGACACCGCAGCACGACAAAGGUGAUGCAGCUCUGACCUUGAUGAAGAUCGGUCCUCAUCUCGGGCACAGACCCAUCAAAAUGUAAAUGAUGAUGGGUAGAGGCAGGAGAGGAAUGAGAGCGGGAGUGGGCGCAUCGUGUGCCCGAUGAGCCGUGCCUCCAGGGGCCGACCAAAUCGAUCUUUCGAGCGGGCUUCCCAGAAGGCAAAUGGCCGAGAUCUGAUGAUGUCAUCGCUAUCUUCUCUCCUGGCUGGCAUGGUUACCCCCGGCACACACAGCAGGUCACACUGGGAGGGUUUAAUGGAGAUAAUAGCAGGUUCUGUGGCAGUGAAACUGUCAUCAAUGCUGCUUUUUUGUUCCCUUCCUCCAUGCUGAAGUAAUAAUGCGUCUCCAUGUUCUCCUGAAAGCCUCAGUGACUUCUUCCCCAGGCUUACUUCCGCCAUUUCUGUUUGAUCCUACCAAUCAUCUCUAAAAGUUUCAGACUGAACUAACUGAAGACAGUUUAGGAGGCUUUGAACCACAGUCUUCAAUGAGCCAAAACCCGAAGCUGGCAUUUUCACAGUUUUUACGGUGAGCAGCACCUUCAACAGCAAUUUCGCAUUAGAGCGAUGGCUUAUGUGCAAAAUUAAAUACUGUUCUAAAUGAAAUACCAAUAAAUUAAUUGUGCUGUUUUAUAUCCUACAAUUCCAAUUUCAAGGUCAAAAAUAAACCAAUCAGAUUAA